GGAAUGAAGUGAGCAGUUUGCUUGAAUAUGUAUUCCCACCAUGAUGCGCUGCCAUAGGCCCAAAGUAACAGGGCUGAUUGACCACGGACUGGAAACUCCAAAUCUUCGGAAAGGACAUAGCUCAGCUGGGCAUCCUGCAGAGUAUCACACUGGUCCAGUUAACUGAUGACACCGUUAGUGGAACCAAAUGCACAAGAGGUGGCCAGCAGGUUGGAAGUCUUGAAAGCUGGUUGUUAAGUUCUUACUAUUGUAUCACUGCCAGUGCAUAUCUAUGAUUGCAUGAGAAGGGGAUCAUACAUGAUUCAUGUAGGAUGGAAAAGCCUGAGUUUGAUUCACAAACGGCUGAACUUUGUACCCCAGGACAGGCCAGAAAUGUACGAUGGCUACACAGUUUCCCUACUCAGGAAAUCUUGAAAUACAGAGGACCAGCUUUCCCAGUGCUGAGGUCAUUGUCCAUUGAGGUCACUUUGAAAAGGCUGAGCAAGUCCUGUUAACAGCGCUUAUCUCCUCUUCUUCAGAAUCAGAAACAAGGCAUCCCAGCCUAUGCGUCAUCUGACAUGGAGAAGGACUGCAGGUUAGGUCCUGCUCAUCCACCUGGCAGAGGGAGGAUUCCAGGGGCACAAGACUCAUGAAGAUGAGACUCAAAACUGGCACACUGUCAUUUCUGCUACACUUGCAUUUGACCAAAGCAAAUUUACAAGGGUAACCCAGAUUCAAGGACUGCAGGAAAUAGAUUUUGCUUCUUCAUGAGAGGAGCUGCAAAAUUAUACUGUUAAGGGCAUGGAUGCCGGAAGGCUGAAAAGUUUCAGUCAUUUUUGCAGUUUACUGCAGGUAUAUUCUUGUCCCCAUUUAUUAUUGCUGCUUUACAGAUGAGGAAACUGAGUUCAAGAGAGAUCCCUAAACUCAAACAAAGAAAUAACAAUAUAGACAAAGGCUCUGGAAUUAUUGGCAAAAGAGGAGCUUGUGCUUGUAUAAAAGACUUGAAAAUUUCUUAGCACAGAGAUGAGCUUGGAGUGAGGCUCUGUAGCAGAUAUUGUGCCUCUUUGACCCAUUUUCUACCAGGGCCUCUGAGUGCACCCCCAGCUGUAGUAGACAAUUCCUGCUGUCAAGGACCUCUCUGCUCCUCUGCUCAAGGUUUCCUCCAGUUCCUUGAAGUUUUGCUCGGUCUCCUUUGAAGCAACCUACAAAUGUCACACUAAAUGCCCCCAGGGGCAGCCCUCGAGGAAGGUUGGUAGGUGCUGGCACAUCAAUGUCCCAGCUGCCCCAUUCCAUGCUGGGAGAAUUCUGUGGCACAUUUUCCAAAGCUCCUCAGAGGAUCCCCAUGAGAAUUAAUUCCCAGAUCACUCUUGGUAAUAAUCUGCUCAUUAACAUCACACCUUAUCAUUGCCCUCUUUCAGUUAAGCCACUGACACUCCAGCCCUUGUCUCAAGGUCUGCUUUUGUAGCAAAUCAAAGGAAGACACCUGGAAGGACGGACAAGAUAUUGAUAGAGAAGGAGGCUGAUGAAGCAUUCCCCGUAGAGGACAUUAUAGACAUUGUUUCUUUUUUCUUUUCUUUUUUUUUUUUGGUACUGGGGAUCGAACUCGGGACCUUGCACUUGCGAGGCAGGUGCCAGAACCACUGAGCUAAAUUCCUGGCCCUGGACAUUGUUUCUAAAUUUUAUUUGUGCAAAAAUACUGCAUUUGUGUAGUAAUGUUUUAUAUUAGUUUCACCUUAUUUAUUUCAAGAUCAAUUGCUGGUAGAAUUAGUAGCUUUCAUCCCUGUGACCAAAUAGCGGAGGAAAACAACUUAGAGGAAGGAAGACUGAUUUGGGCUCCCAAAUUCAGAGGGUUCAGUUGUUGGUCAGAUGGUUUCCUUGCUUCUAGGCCUGUGGAUCUGUGGUGAGGCAGAACCAUCGUGGUGGGAGGACGUGGAGGCAGAAAGCUGCUCCCCUCCUGCCAGCCAAAGCAGAGGGGAAGAGAGCCAGAAAAGAGGGGCUGGGGACCAGGUCUAGUCCCUAAGCUCACACCCCUAUGACUCCCUCCAAUUAGGCUCCAUCUCCUGUUUCCAUUACCUCCCAAUCAGGCCAUCAGAUUAUGAUUCAUCAAUGGAUUUAUCUAUCGAAGUCAGAAUCCUCGUGAUCUAAUCACUUUCCCAAAGCCCCACUUCUGAACAUAGAAGACACUGGGGAGACAUUUUAGAUCCAAACCGUAACAGAAGGUUACAGGAUUUAAACAUUUCCUAGGCUUUUGGUCACCGCAAACUUAACUUUUCCAUUUAGGAUUUGCUCAGUACCAAUAUUUGUCUUAGAACCUGAAGAAAUGUUUAAUUACUGAAAUUUGAAAUAUUAAUCCAUUUUGUGUUGCUAUAUCAAAAUACUCCAAUGCCAGUUCUUUAUGUAAAAAGGUAACACAAAAGUUUGGAGACAGAAAGUUCACGACUGGGUAGUCCCAUUGAUUUGGACUCUAGUGAGGGCCUCCAUGGCUGAGUCACGACAUGGUGGAUGUAAUCAUAGCAGAAGGGAGAGGUCACAUGGCAAGACAAGAAGUCACAGAGCAGAAGAGGGCCAGCAGUCUUGCUCUUUUUAUAGCAGCCCAUGCUCCAAGGAACUAAUUGGGGCUUCAUGAGAACUACAUUAAUCCUGUCCAAGGGCAGAACCCCAAUGACCUUCCAUGAAACCCCACCUCUUAACAAUCCCACUACCUCUCAUAUAAGCACAACGGGAGCCAAACCUCCAACACAUGAACCCAUGGAAGACAAACCACAUCCAAACCAUGUCCAUGUUUACUCUGAGCUCAGCAUACAUGUAUGCCUCAAUUCAAAGUUAAACAGGGAAACAUUCUUAUUCUGAAAGUUCAUUGGCCUUUCUUGUACCAUGUACUUCUUACUGACCUAUCUUCCAUAGAAAACCGUUAUCUAUCCUCAUACUCUCCUCUCUGUCUUUUUCUCAUCUCUUCUCACCUUUUCUGUUUUAGUUGACAGUCUCCAACUCAAUCUCUGAUAUUUCCAUGCCAUUUCUGAGCCAUCUACCCUUCCCUCCAUUACCCCCAACCUGAGGGCUAAUCUCCCCCAGCCAGAAUGGCCAGUCAGAAUUUUCCUCAAAUGAAAGACAGGUGUCUUCCUUCGGAAGCUGACAAGCCACCCUACUAAUGGGUUUGUGGAGAUGGGAUGGGAGUGAGGGAGAGGAGUAGAAAUGUUACUGGAGAGUUCAGAGAAUUGGUGGUUUUUGUAGAGGGGAUAGAAUAAACAUAGUGAAACCUGAGAACAACUUGAACAAUUUUUUCUGCUUCCCACAAUAUCACCUCACAACCUCCAAAUCUGUGCUUUGUUCUGGUGAACCCUGAAAGCUUUUUGGUCUUCAAUAAUUCUCUAUUAAAAUGCAAAUACCUACUGGAAGUUGUUAAGCCUUAUCAGCUAAUAGUUGGCUGUAGAAUAAACAUAAGAUCUUAUGUUAAUAGGGCCCAGAAUGGCAGAGCGACAGGGCCUUUCAGUGGAAGGAAAAAUAGACCCAGGAAGAAGGAGAGAGGAUAUUUAUGGAAGGGGUCAUUUUUCAGUCUUUCUUCUAUUUUGACUAGAGUGAACUUUGCUCACCAUUAUGACAGCUUCUCCUUUGGCAUCUCAACAGCACUAGUUUUUAAAUGGUAGGUUUGUUGCUCUUUGACCCAUGCAUCCAUUGAAUUAAGGAGGAUUCCUGGAGCAUCUCUGCACUGUCUAAAUUAGGAAGAGUGAAAGUAACCCAGGGAAAUAGCUAUAGAAUCCCCCUCCCUGGUCUAAUUCAGUUGCAUUUAAUUGCAUCAGCUCCAUGGUACCUGGAUGGCCCUGGCAGCUCAGUAGGUCACCGCAAAGCCAAUACAUUGCCAGAGCAAUGGGUGUGCUUCCUCCAUGAUAGGAAGUAAGCUGCCAUCCUACCAGUUGGCUUGCCCAUGUGUGCCCAUCACGGGGACCAAAAGAGAGCAUUCGUGCACAUUGCCAUUCUAUCCUGACGACCUGGAAAACCACAGACAUGCAGCCUGACCUCCGCAGGAAAUGACCGUGUCCAUCAGCUGAGUUCCAGCCUCCCUGCUGGAGCACCUUCUCCAUCAUCUGUAGUUCAGGGCACAUAUGUCUUCUCUCCCCUGCUGGACUGUGACCACCUCCGGCAGGAGCCAAGGCUACUUCAUCACUGAGUACAAG